rnacentral:tRNA from 1 species
GCCGGGGUAGCUCAGUUGGUCAGAGCUCCUGUUUUGUAAACAGGGGGUCGUGAGUUCGAAUCUCACCCCCGGCU